CUGCCGGCGCUGGGGCCCGCGCUGGACCUGGAGGCUCUGGAACGGGGCGAUGCCGAGGCCCUGGCAGGUGAGCAGCACCUGAGCCCCGCUCCCCUCACCCCUGGGGGACCCCCCAAAACUCACCUGGCCCCCCGCAGCUGUCCCGGUGACGGUGGCGGGGCUCGGGCUGGCUGCGAGCGAUGCUGAGGAGGACGGGGCAGCAGAAGCCAUGGAGGACGACAGCGCUGACCUGGAGGUGGGAAGGGAUUUGCUGAGGUGGGGGGGUUUUUUUUGGGGGGCAGUGGGUUAAUAAUUGACGCCCCCUCCCCAGCUCAGCACGAUGACAGUGGAGCUCAAGCCCCGGGUGAAGUCGGGGGGCACUGGGGGGGAUCCAGUGCCCCGAGCCCCCAGUCUGGAGGAGGUGGCUGCGCUCCCCCCUCUGCUCCAGGGCCAGGGGCUGCGGGCAGCCGGGAAAAGGAGGAAAAAACUGCAAAAAAGAGCAGAGAAAAUCGCCACGAAGCUGUCGGAGACACUGGAGGCAGCCAUGCAGUUCUGAGGCUUUUAUAAAUUAAAUCGCUGUAUUUAAAUGAGAAACAGUUCAAUCUUUUCAGAAACAAAAUAACUAAGGGAGCAGGGAGGGCUGUAGGGGUGGUCUGGGAGGUCUCUCAGGUAAGAGAUUGAAAUGUGGAGGUUUUUGGGGGUCCUUGUCCCUGGAAGGGUUUUGGGGGGGUCUCACUGCAUCUUACAGCUGGGGGGGUGAGUGGGGAUCACUAAAAACUUAUCAGUUUUUACAGCUGAUAUAGAAAAUGUAACGCUCAGCCACUUAGUGAACCUCAGAACUGGGGAGGGCUCAGCAUUAGGGUUGCACCCCAUUAUUAAAGACACUCCACCUCCACAACCUCCCCAAUUCCUGUAGCACCCAGUACCCCACUUUGACACUAAAUGAACCCCCCCCAACCUUCCAGAGCACCCCAAAAGCCACCUCGGACACCCCAAAAGCCACCUCGGACACCCCAAAAGCCACCUCGGACACCCCACACACUCCCUGAGGUCCCACAGCUCCCCAAAACCCCCUCGGACCCUCCCAAAAAGCAGAGGGUGCCUCCCUAAGCCGUCACCCUUAGCCCUCACAGCACCCUCACCUGUAUAGGCAGGGUGUGAAGGUUCCCCCGGGAUUUUGGGGUGCCCCCAGUGCCGGGCUGGGGAGGGGGAACGCGGCCACCGAGCUCCCCUCGGCCUCCACCCACCAUUCUGCCACCUUUUCCUCCGCCUGUGAGGAGCAGCAGCCACAGGUGGUGGUGAGGGCAGCACAGGUGUUUCAAAUAACGGCUGAUGAGGCGGAGGGAGGGGUGGAAGGGGCCGUCCCGCCUCGUUUUGGGCUGGUUCGUGGGGGUUUUUUUGCAGCGCUUGGCGCCAUUUUGCCGCCGUGAGGGGAGGGGGGGGGCG
rnacentral:lncRNA from 1 species